GUUUCGGACCAGAACUAUGACCCUCUGCAUCCGGUCGAUCUCCUGGCGAAGGAAGAUGUUCAUGGGCUGGAAAGGACCCAUCUUCUGAAGAUGCUCCCUCACCUGGUUUCAGUCAAGCAGAUUUUUCCCUGCGUCUGUGGGUCGAUGAGGAGGGGGAAGCGGGCACCCUUGGUCACAAUGAUGCCAUUGUGAAUGGACAGAUCAUCAUUGGGGAGACCCUGUGAGUCAGAUGAUGAAUGUUGAGUGAGUGUGGAAUGCUAGCUAAUUAAAAUGGUCAUAAAUCAUUUGUUUUUUAUUUCAUAGAAAAUUAAAUUAAAUAUUUUAUAAUGCACAAUUAAA